GACGAACGCUGGCGGCGUGCUUAACACAUGCAAGUCGAACGGUAAGGCCCUUCGGGGUACACGAGUGGCGAACGGGUGAGGAACACGUGGGUGAUCUCCCCUGCACUUCGGGAUAAGCCUGGGAAACUGGGUCUACGACCGGAUAGGACCUGUGACUGCAUGGGUGGUGGGGGAAAGCGUUUGCGGUGUGGGAUGGGCCCGGGGCCUAUUAGAUUGUGGGUGAGGUGAUGGCCUACCAAGGCGACGACGGGUAGCCGGCCUGAGAGGGGGACCGGACAGAAUGGGAGUGAGAUACGGACCAGACUACUACGGGAGGCAGCAGUGGGGAAUAUUGCACAAUGGGCGCAAGCCUGAUGCAGCGACGCCGCGUGAGGGAUGACGGCCUUCGGGUUGUAAACCUCUUUCAGCACCGACGAAGCGCAAGUGACGGUAGGUGCAGAAGAAGGACCGGCCAACUACGUGCCAGCCGCCGCGGUAA
rnacentral:rRNA from 1 species